rnacentral:rRNA from 1 species
CGGAGUUGCUAGUAAUCGCGAAUCAGCAUGUCGCGGUGAAUACGUUCCCGGGCCUUGUACACACCGCCCGUCACACCAUGAGAGUUGGUAACACCCGAAGUCCGUGAGGUAACCGUAAGGAGCCAGCGGCCGAAGGUGGGAUUGAUGAUUGGGGUGAAGUCGUAACAAGGUAGCCGUAGGAGAACCUGCGGCUGGAUCACCUCCUUUCUAGGGAG